rnacentral:rRNA from 1 species
UACGGGGGGGGGCAAGCGUUGUUCGGAAUUACUGGGCGUAAAGCGCGCGUAGGCGGAUCUGCAAGUCGGGGGUGAAAUCCCGAGGCUCAACCUCGGAACUGCCUUCGAUACUGCGGGUCUCGAGUCCGGGAGAGGUGAGUGGAAUUCCUAGUGUAGAGGUGAAAUUCGUAGAUAUUAGGAAGAACACCAGUGGCGAAGGCGGCUCACUGGCCCGGUACUGACGUUGAGGCGCGAAAGCGUGGGGAGCAAACAGG